GACGAAGGGGGCUAGCGUUGUUCGGAAUUACUGGGCGUAAAGCGCGUGUAGGCGGUUGGUCAAGUUAGGUGUGAAAGCCUUGAGCUCAACUCAAGAAAUGCACUUGAUACUGGAUGACUAGAGGACCGGAGAGGAUAGUGGAAUUCCCAGUGUAGUGGUGAAAUACGUAGAGAUUGGGAAGAACACCAGUGGCGAAGGCGGCUAUCUGGACGGUUUCUGACGCUAAGACGCGAAAGCGUGGGGAGCAAACAGG
rnacentral:rRNA from 1 species